rnacentral:rRNA from 1 species
UACGGAGGGGGCGAGCGUUAUUCGGAAUUAUUGGGCGUAAAGGGCGCGUAGGCGGCCUUGUAAGUCAAAGGUGAAAUCCCUCGGCUCAACUGAGGAACUGCCUUUGAAACUGCAAGGCUUGAGGCCGGGAGGGGGUAGCGGAAUUCCCAAUGUAGCGGCGAAAUGCGUAGAUAUUGGGAGGAACACCAGUGGCGAAGGCGGCUACCUGGACCGGUUCUGACGCUGAGGCGCGAAAGCGUGGGUAGCAAACAGG